rnacentral:snRNA from 1 species
CCACUUUGAAAGUACAUCUACUAAAAUUGGAACGAUACAGAGAAGAUUAGCAUGGCCCCUGCGCAUGGA